UAUUAGGAAUUUGAAGGUAAUAUACCAAACUUGUGCGAUGGCUAUGGCCUUGAUUGUGGAGACUUGAUCAUCAUCUGGAUCUAGUGAGUUUCACACAUUCCGAAGUUCUCCAAAUGACUAGCCUCAUUGUUUUUCUGUAGUUUAUCUUGCCAGAGUUUUAGUUGUCAGCCAUCGAUUAUGAAUUAUGCUGAGGGUUUGUACGUUCUGGUAGGAAGGGCUACUGGGACUGGUCAUGGACGUCCCCAUCUCCUUUGCUAGGUUCUAUAGUAGUAUCUAUUUGUUCACGCGUACUAUUUUUUUGGGUCCUCAAGGCUUUGACCAUCUUACGACUACAACUUGCCAUGAUGCUUGUGUAGUGCUAACAGCAAAACUAUACUUUUUCACAUUAGGAGUUCGGGGCCGCAAUCUCAUG
rnacentral:lncRNA from 1 species